GUUUCAAAUUGUGGGCAGACCAAAGUCCGCUUGUCAUUCUUUAGUUCAAAAGAGUCUAUUGGAACGCGACCUCGGGCACGCGAGCUUUCGCCUGCGAGGCCCCGGCCGUAAAGGAGCACGGUGGGUUUGUUGUGUUAGAGUCAGGUCGCGGCAGCCCGCUUCAACGACCUUUGACGGUCGGAGCGGUGUGCCGAUCCCCUCCUCAGAGAUACGUUAAUGAUCCUUCCGCAGGUUCACCUACGGAAA
rnacentral:misc_RNA from 1 species